GACGAACGCUGGCGGCGUGGAUUAGGCAUGCAAGUCGGACGGUAGGGCUUUAUCGUAAGAUAGAGUUUGAGAGUGGCGAACGGGUGAGUAACACGUAGGAACGUGCCCCUUGGAGUUGGAUAGCCACGGGAAACUGUGGGUAAACCGACAUAGACUCGAGAGAGUAAAGGCCGAAAGGCGCCAAGGGAGCGGCCUGCGGCCCAUCAGGUAGUUGGUAGUGUAAAGGACUACCAAGCCGACGACGGGUAGCCGGUCUGAGAGGAUGUACGGCCACACUGGGACUGAGAUACGGCCCAGACUCCUACGGGAGGCAGCAGUUGGGAAUCUUAGGCAAUGGACGAAAGUCUGACCUAGCGACGCCGCGUGAGGGAAGAAGGCCUUCGGGUUGUAAACCUCUGUCAUGGGGGAAGAAGUAAGUGACGGUACCCAAGAGGAAGCCCCUGCUAACUACGUG
rnacentral:rRNA from 1 species